UACGUAGGGGGCUAGCGUUGUCCGGAAUCAUUGGGCGUAAAGCGCGUGUAGGCGGUCCGGUAAGUCCGCUGUGAAAGUCGAGGGCUCAACCCUCGAAUGCCGGUGGAUACUGUCGGGCUAGAGUCCGGAAGAGGCGAGUGGAAUCCUGGUGUAGCGGUGGAAUGCGCAGAUAUCAGGAGGAACACCGAUGGCGAAGGCAGCUCGCUGGGACGGUACUGACGCUGAGGCGCGAAAGCGUGGGGAGCGAACAGG
rnacentral:rRNA from 1 species